AUCAUUCGUACGGCGAACGUCUAACCAGUAAGAUUAAUUUAUAACAAUGUUGUCUGAGCCAAGGCCCGAGAAAAACAUGAGUGAAAGGUUUGUUUGGAAGGCACGGAAUUCUGUGUCCACGCCGAUCGGUAUCGCAGGAAUGGCAAUGCUUUGCGGGGCUGGUGCCUACAGACAACGAUUCUGCGGAGUGUUAUCCUCAUCGGUCCUUUUGAGGAGGCUUAAAGCCGCUGCACAGGGCACGAUGAUGGUGGCCCUCGUAUUAGGAAUAAGCGGCUCAAUAGUGAACGAACAUGUACUGGAUAAGCGGAUCGAGAACAAGGCGGAGUCGCUGUGGCUCCUGCGAGCACACAUGGAACCUGGUUACUAAUAUCAUCUCACAGUGAUAGACAAGAAAUAUUCAAUCGCAAGGAGAGUUUUUGGAUGUAGAAAGGAUGAUACCAGCUUGAGUUGCGAAUCUAGCAACGUUAUAGUUUGAAUGUACGACCUUGUUUUUGAGUGUUUGUCGAAAUUUAUCCUACUUUUGUAAGGAUGUUUUGAGAGUGAGAUUAGCUUUAAGUGUGCUAGUUAUAAUUUAAAUUAAUAAUUUGAAAGGCUAUAUGUACAUAUGAUAUUGUAAAUAUUAUUGGAAAAUACAGCUAAUUAAAAUAUGAAAAA